UACGGGGGGAGCAAGCGUUGUUCGGAUUUACUGGGCGUAAAGGGCGCGUAGGCGGCCACCGCAAGUCGAUUGUGAAAUCUCCGGGCUUAACUCGGAAAGGUCAACUGAUACUGCGGGGCUAGAGUGCGGAAGGGGCAACUGGAAUUCUCGGUGUAGCGGUGAAAUGCGUAGAUAUCGAGAGGAACACCUGCGGCGAAGGCGGGUUGCUGGGCCGACACUGACGCUGAUGCGCGAAAGCCAGGGGAGCGAACGGG
rnacentral:rRNA from 1 species